AAAACAUCUGCAAUGCUCCGCUUUGUCACAGGAUAAAUUUGGUCACAUCCUGAGAACUCAUCCGGCAAAAUAUCUGAACCAAUCACUAUGGAGGGGCCGGAGAAUGGAACUCGUGAAGCAAGCUUUACUGUCGAGAAAGCUACUAGAGGUUUGAGCAGAGCUGAUGUUGAAGGAAGGCAACCCUGACAGAGGAGCAAAGGCAGCCUGGAGCGGCAGAGCCCCCCUACCCCCUGAAAAGCAUCCUAUUCAGUGGGUUUUCACAGGAAAGCAGUAGGAAUGGACUGCACCAGGGCCAGCUCGUGGGGAGACUCCCUCCGGCAUCAGGAUGGACUCAGGAUUGUGCCAUGUAAUGGAAAACCUACAGUUGCUCUUUUAUUGAAAUAAGAUAAUAUUCAAACGGUACU